CUUGACUGUAUCCUGGAAUUGGGUUCGGGCUUUUCUUGCGCAGCCUAGGUGGGAGGCUAUGAAGAUUUCCUUCCGGGGAAGUUGGAGCCAUCAGUGAGAAACCACUCUGGAGAGGCUAGAAUCCUAAUGGUGAUCCUUGAAUCAGGACACUUGACAGUUUCAGGUGGGCAGUUUUUCUGGGGCGGAAGCCUCAUAAAGGGUAACUGAGGCGCGCAAAGGUCCCCUCAGUCUGGACGGAAAUCAGACAACGAGUGUAAAGGCAAAGGGGGCUUGACUGCAAGACCUACAAGUCGAGCAGGAGCGAAAGCUGGCCUGAGUGAUCCGACGGUACCGUGUGGAAGGGCCGUCGCUCAACGAAUAAAAGUUA
rnacentral:rRNA from 1 species